ensembl:lncRNA
CCCACCACUCCCUGGGCAUCACCAUGAUGCCACUGCAUCACCACUCCUGUAGAGAAGAAAUGUUUCCUAAAAUCCAACCUGAACUUCCCCUGGAGCAACUUGAAGCCAUCACUUCUCAUCUUCAAGUUGCUUUCUGCACAGUAUCACCCUAACCAAAUUAAAGGGACUGUAUUUCAUGCUCAUUCUCUUUGGUCUUCUUGCUGCCUUCGAACUCUGCCUUUCUGGAUUCUCCCUCUGCUCCUCUCCAUGACCCACGCUCUGCUGAGCAUCCCCCUUGUUCUUGCAGUCUUCUGUGACUCUUCCAUCACCCCCAGUGUCUCAGACCACAUCUUUUCUUUCUGCUGUUCUCAUCAUUUUCACGUUCCUUGCUGGCUGCUCAUCAUACACCUCUUGCACUGCUGUCCAGCCUUCUAAGUCCCACCACUUCUCUGGCACUUUAUUAUUCCUCUGUCCGUGUGGUGAAACCUGAGCAUCUCUGUUACAGGUUGCCUUUCCCUUCCUCUUAGGUGCUCCCAGCCACGCGGUGAGUUUGGUUUAGUAGAGCCAAGCUGCGUUCUCCUCUCCAUGUGAUGCAUGCAGCUGACAGGUUUGGCAGUUCUCGUGUUGCUUUUCCUUCCUGCAACUGAUGCGCUGUGAAGGAUGAACAUGGAAAUGUAAGCAGGGAGAACAGGAGGCUGGCAGCAUCCUGUCCUCUUCAGAGUGGAAGAGCUGCCUUGGGAAGGAGGAAUUGGACAGAAAUCUGCAAUAACUGGCAAAAUAAAUAAAUCUGAGCAUUAAGGCAGCAGCUAGCCAGCACUGCAUUUUACAUUUGAAGCUACGUCUACCCUGCACAGAGCACAAUAGCACAGAAAGAGUUGAAAUAGCUCUGCAUAAAUAUUGCAUGAAGCCUUAUGCACAAAUGUAUACGAAGCACGGAGCUACCUGCAAGAUCUGGCUGAAAAGCGUGAAGGAAAACGCGGGCACUCUGUGGUCCCCUAUCUGGAGAGCUGCUGGUACCGGCCUGGGGAGGUAACUGGCAUUGCAACACAGCUCUCAGCACAAACAUGCUCAGAGGGUGCUGCGUGCCAAGCGCCGUGCAGGAGAUGAAGCCAUGGAGCAGGCUUUUAGGCUCUUUGUGACGACGCCCACCACCUACAGUGGAUGAAGCAGGUGCCUCGCACCCCACUCUUCAGCUUCAGUACCUUCUCCUCGCCCCGUCACUCAUUCAGGUGGGAUAUCGGCAUCAUGGAAUUGUUUGAGUUGGAAGGGACCCUUAAAGACCAUCUGAUCCCACUCCCUGCAGUGCACAGGGACAACCACAGCUCCA